rnacentral:rRNA from 1 species
GAUGAACGCUGGCGGCGUGCCUAAUACAUGCAAGUCGAGCGAACGGACGAGAAGCUUGCUUCUCUGAUGUUAGCGGCGGACGGGUGAGUAACACGUGGAUAACCUACCUAUAAGACUGGGAUAACUUCGGGAAACCGGAGCUAAUACCGGAUGAUAUUUUGAACCGCAUGGUUCAAAAGUGAAAGACGGUCUUGCUGUCACUUAUAGAUGGAUCCGCGCUGCAUUAGCUAGUUGGUAAGGUAACGGCUUACCAAGGCAACGAUGCAUAGCCGACCUGAGAGGGUGAUCGGCCACACUGGAACUGAGACACGGUCCAGACUCCUACGGGAGGCAGCAGUAGGGAAUCUUCCGCAAUGGGCGAAAGCCUGACGGAGCAACGCCGCGUGAGUGAUGAAGGUCUUCGGAUCGUAAAACUCUGUUAUUAGGGAAGAACAUAUGCGUAAGUAACUGUGCACAUCUUGACGGUACCUAAUCAGAAAGCCACGGCUAACUACGUG